CCAACAUUGACAUCCACAGUCCUGUGACUGUGGCUGUCUUUGUGGCAAACGGGAGCUGAGUACCCUAUCUGGGUGUGAGGUAUAUUCCCUUUCCACAGUGUUGGAGAGAAAACCAGUCCCCUAAACUUGUUUGGGUGUGGGCUGACCUCUGCAUAUUCCAUAGACUUCUCUGAGCCAUUGUGGCCGUGACAGGGGAGACAAACCAUGCAGAGAACAAAA
rnacentral:snoRNA from 1 species